rnacentral:rRNA from 1 species
UACAGAGGGUGCAAGCGUUGUUCGGAAUUAUUGGGCGUAAAGCGCGUGUAGGCGGCUUUGCAAGUCGCGUGUGAAAUCCCUCGGCUUAACCGAGGAAGUGCGCGCGAAACUGCAGAGCUUGAGUACCGGAGAGGAUGGUGGAAUUCCCCAAGUAGAGGUGAAAUUCGUAGAUAUGGGGAGGAACACCGGUGGCGAAGGCGGCAUCCUGGACCGACACUGACGCUGAGGAGCGAAAGCCAGGGGAGCAAACGGG